rnacentral:lncRNA from 1 species
UGAAGAGCCGCCGCUCUUCCGCGUUGGACGGAGGCCGCAAGACAGCGUGCGCGAGGCAGCGGACACUGCUGGAUUUGCGGCAGACGAAGCCGAGACCAAGGCCUGUCAUCUCGAGAAAAUGCAGCUCCUCUACUCUUCUACCUCGAGAGAAAAGCAACUACUUUUGGCGAAAAACGCGCCCGCCGCGCCACUCAGACGCUCUGUUCCCAGGUGUACAUACACAGGAGCUAUCUGGCAUGCCGCGCCCUUUCAGUUAGGUUUUCUGCGAAGACGUCCGAGCGGCGGUUUCCCCCUUCUUCGGGUUGUCUCAAGGAUUCGAACGCUUCUCUUCAGUUGAAGAUGUUCAGACAGAAAGGAGGAGACGACCACGUGUGCGUUGAAGGCGUUCUCUGUGAUUCGAAACCUUCCACAAACCGCGUUCGGUGUCGAUGCCGGCUGUCGCAUAGAGUUGAGACAAGCGGCAAACACAGAAACGCCUUGGCGUCCUGCUCGCAGCUUUGUUUCCCUUUGACACUGUGCUGGGAAGCUUGUAGCACUCGAGCUACGAGAGAGUCGCAGGGUGCGGCGAAGCGUCUAUUUGAAAAACCGGCACCUGCAUUUACUGUCUGGACAAACAUCACGACUUCCACUUGGCGGUCUCCUUUCUAAGGCUCACAUGUACGGCACACACGCACCAGAAUCUUGUUAACCUGGCUCCUGUUGUGGGAACCGGAGGAUCGCCUUUUAACUGGAUCACACCUUGAAGAUCCCUCUUUGCUGGAUCCAAGUUCUAAUGUGUUGGCAGAGCACGGUUACUAUGAAUAUUGAAGACAUCGAAUCUGGGAUGCGUAUGACUCGACUGAUGUUUGCCCGACACACAGCGUCGGUGCUUGCCAGCUCCUUUCCAGGGCAACACCUUACGAUGUUGUGUUCACUGUGUUCGGG